GGUUCUCAAGUCCAGGGAUCUGGCCUUUUAACCCCUCUGCAUUUGAGGAAAAGGACUUCGCCGGAGCCUAUUCGACAGACCGUCCUCCUCCCCAGGCUUCGGGUGACGAGGUCAGCGCUUCUCCAGGUGCCACUUCAGGCAUGGAUGUACCUGAUCGAGCUGCCGGGCCUGACGAAGCUGUCCAGCCUGAGGGAGAGGCCGUUGAAUUCAGCCCGGACAUCGUCCGGCCUUACCCUAAGGCCGGACCUAGAAAGAUCACAAAGAGAAGAGGGAGAAAGAGGCAAGUGGAGUUACUCUUGCAUCUCAUAUCUUGUCUGGACUUCCUUUGUCUACAGUCAUGUAGACCUACCACAUUUAAAGUAAUUCAAUUAUCAUUAAAACGUCCAAUUUAAUGUUUCAGGACAACUGCUAUACUUACGGACACCCCGGUGAGGGCUGCUUUAGAGGCGGAAAAACAGGGAACUGUGAAGCAGCGUCGUCCCGCCAAGCAGCCUCCCUCCUCUCGGGCUCCCAAGAAGAGGCUCUUCUCGCCCGCUCCUGAAGCCGCCCCCCUUGCUGGAGUCACCCCUGGUGCCACCUCAGCUGCUCCUCCCACCAUCACCUGGCCCGCUGAUGGAGUCAGCCCCACCUUAGGCCUAGUUUGUCCUGUUCCGGAGGCAGCAGAGUUCACCACCAUUGCUGCCUCUACAUCUCCAAUUUAUUUAGGCCUAUCCAGCGAGGACGUCAGCUGCCUCGUGUGCUGCGAGCUCUUCAGCGCCUCGAUGUCUGGGGAAGAGUGGGUCCAGUGUGUAUUUUGCUAUAAGUGGUCGCAUGAGGCUUGCACCGACGGGAGUGCACACUACCUGUGUCACCUGUGUGACAAAGAAUAAAAAUAUUCAGCCUACUAUACUGUCCAUGUGUCUUCACUAGUUUGCAGUGGAAAUACUGUAAAUGUAGGCCUACAGCACAAUUCACUUAACAUUAUAGACUGAUUAACUAACUAACUAACUAUGAGGCCUGGGUUAGGCUAUGAGUGGGAGCUUGGCUAUUAAAUAUUUUGCAGGGUAGGCCUACUUUUCGUCCAUCAUGGUAACGCAUCAAAAAUAACAAUGGCUACAUUAAAUUAUGACAAUAAUAAUUUAAUUUAGUGGACAUGCACACUUAAGAACUGCUGGGUAUAAGCUAUAGGCUAGCCUUCUACACCCUUGCUCUUGGUCACGACACAUGGCUUGCCGAUUUAUCCUUUUCUCCAGCCAUUACCAUCCAUCAGCUAGAGUGUCAAAGUUCUGCUUAUUAUGAUUUCAACAUAAUGUUCAUGUAAAUGUGCAGACAAUUACACAAUAUUUAUCAGAAAAAAUAAGUUUAGCCACUUACCUGUCCACAGAGACUUCGGAUGCUUCUGUGCGCCG